rnacentral:rRNA from 1 species
UGAGGAAUAUUGGACAAUGGGCGCAAGCCUGAUCCAGCCAUGCCGCGUGCAGGAAGACGCAUCUAUGGUGUGUAAACUGCUUUUGUACGGGAAGAAACACCCCCUCGUGAGGGGGCUUGACGGUACCGUAAGAAUAAGGAUCGGCUAACUCCGUGCCAGCAGCCGCGGUAAUACGGAGGAUCCAAGCGUUAUCCGGAAUCAUUGGGUUUAAAGGGUCCGUAGGCGGUUUAAUAAGUCAGUGGUGAAAUCUGGUCGCUCAACGAUCAAACGGCCAUUGAUACUGUUAGACUUGAAUUAUUGUGAAGUAACUAGAAUAUGUAGUGUAGCGGUGAAAUGCUUAGAUAUUACAUGGAAUACCAAUUGCGAAGGCAGGUUACUAACAAUAUAUUGACGCUGAUGGACGAAAGCGUGGGGAGCGAACAG